rnacentral:rRNA from 1 species
UGUUCGAUUUCGGAGAGGGAGCAUGAGAAACGGCUACCACAUCUAAGGAAGGCAGCAGGCGCGUAAAUUACCCAAUCCUGACUCAGGGAGGUAGUGACAAGAAAUAGCAAACCGGGAACCUCAUGGUUUCACGGUAUUGCAAUGAGAACAAUUUAAAACCCUUAGCGAGAAUCAAGUGGAGGACAAGUCUGGUGCCAGCACCCGCGGUAAUUCCAGCUCCACUAGCGUAUAUUAAAGUUGUUGCAGUUAAAAAGCUCGUAGUUGAACCUCUGUCUGGGGCUAGUUUUGGCUUUGGUCAGGCUAGUUCUAGGCAUCCGCCUACAAGACUUAGAGGGCAUUCAGUUGUUCACUAGGAGGAGUAGGCAUUUUACUUUGAAAAAAUUAGAGUGUUUAAGGCAGGCAAUCGCCCGCAUAUAUUAGCAUGGAAUAAUAGAAUAGGACACUUUUCCAUUUCGUUGGUUAUUGGAAUCGUGUAAUGAUUAAUAGGGACAGUUGUGGGCAUUUGUAUUUAAUUGUCAGAGGUGAAAUUCUUGGAUUUAUUAAAGACAAACUAACGCGAAAGCAUUUGCCAAGGAUGUUUUCAUUAAUCAAGAACGAAAGUUAGGGGAUCAAAGACGAUCAGAUACCGUCCUAGUCUUAACUAUAAACUAUUCCGACUCAAUGUUUGACUGGCUUAUAUAACCAGUUGAGCGUUGUAUGAGAAAUCAAAGUCUUUAGGUUCUGGGGGGAGUAUGGUUGCAAAGCUGAAACUUAAAUGAAUUGACGGAAGAGCACAACCAGGAGUGGAUUCUGCGGCUUAAUUUGACUCAACACGGGGAAACUUACCAGGUUAAAACAAUAGUGGGAUUGACAGUUUGAGAGCGCUUUCUUGAUUGGUUGGGUGGUGGUGCAUGGCCGUUCUUAGUUGGUGGAGUGAUUUGUCUGCUUAAUUGCGUUAACGAACGAGACCUUAACCUGCUUACUAGACUGGCGAUCAUCAAUCGUUAGCUCUUCUUAGAGGGACUUUGGUUGUUUUAACUCCAAGGAAGUUUGAGGCAAUAACAGGUCUGUGAUGCCCUUAGAUAUCCUGGGCCGCACGCGUCAUACAAUGACUAGUUCAGAAAGUUUUCUCCUGACCCGAAAGGGGAUGGGUAAUCUUGAUAAUACUAGUCGUGUUAGGGAUCGAUCUUUGCAAUUAUAGAUCUUGAACGAGGAAUUCCUAGUAAGUGCGGUUCAUCAGACCGUACUGAUUACGUCCCUGCUCUUUGUACACACCGCCCGUCGCUUCUACCGAGUGGGUGGUCCGGUGAGAUAAUUGAACUUCGCAGGUAACUGAGAGGAAAGAUUAUCAAACCUAUCCACCUCGAGGAAGAAGAAGUCGUAACAAGGUU